rnacentral:rRNA from 1 species
AUUGAACGCUGGCGGAAUGCUUUACACAUGCAAGUCGAACGAUGAAGCCUAGCUUGCUAGGUCGAUUAGUGGCGAACGGGUGAGUAAUAUAUCGGAACGUAUCCAAUAAUGGGGGAUAACUAGUCGAAAGAUUGGCUAAUACCGCAUACGUCCUACGGGAGAAAGCUGGGGAUCGUAAGACCUGGCGUUAAUGGAGCGGCCGAUAUCUGAUUAGCUAGUUGGUGAGGUAAAGGCUCACCAAGGCGACGAUCAGUAGCUGGUCUGAGAGGACGACCAGCCACACUGGAACUGAGACACGGUCCAGACUCCUACGGGAGGCAGCAGUGGGGAAUUUUGGACAAUGGGCGAAAGCCUGAUCCAGCCAUUCCGCGUGAGUGAAGAAGGCCUUCGGGUUGUAAAGCUCUUUCGCAAGGGAAGAACACUUACUUAAUAACACUAAGUGAGGUUGACGGUACCUUGAUAAAAAGCACCGGCUAACUACGUGCCAGCCGCCGCUGUAAAAC